AAGAACAGCCGGCCAAGGAAACAAAAGAAACAACUCAAAGCUCUUCAAGUUCCUCUUCAUUUCUUCAACAAAACACCACCAAACUCCACCAAAAUUGAACCACACCUAGCUAAUCACUUGGUGAUCAUCUUAAGCUAGAAAAGGGGCUUCAUUUCCACGGUUUUCUUGAGCUUCAAAGUGACCAAAAAUUAUGAUUUAGUCAUCAAGAGAGGCGCUCAAGAGGACCUUCAAGAGGAACUCGAAGUGGACACCUAGACACUUGUUUGAGUAUUUACUCUCUUGUUGCAAUAGGAUUCGAGACCAAUGGUGCUCGUGAGUAGUACUAGAUUGUUUUCUUUUGAAAAUUUUAAGUUAUAUUAUAACGGAUGGCUAUUGUACCCUUUUCCGUUGGGUUGUAUUUAAGUUUGAAAGUUACAUAAUUGUAAAGUGUGAGAUAUUUGAAGUACUUUAAUUAUGUAUUGAAACUAUUUAAAGUAUUUCGAGUUUUUGAAUGAUGGAUUGUAGUAAGUCCUGGCGAGAGUUGGGCAGGCGUCCCACGGAUACCCCUUUGGUUCACCUUAGAGAGAAGUGGGGGCGUCACAACUACUAAAAGCAAAAAGGAAUGUUGGCAACAUUUCAAAAGCUACAGGUAGCUCCAUCCAAUCAGAUAAAGAUUUCAAGAUUACGAAGAUAAGAAGAUAAGAUUCAAAUGAAAUGACAAUGAAACGAGCAUUUAAAUUCAUGUAUAAAUAGAUGUAGAAUUUCAAAAGACAGGCAUCGAUCAAUUUAUGUGAUCUGAGCCUUCUCUAUUAUAAAAACUCUCUCCUCAUAUUCGCUUCCACGCCCCACUCCCAUCUAAAUUCAAGAACAUUCAAAGAACUUUAAUUACGAGUAAGCUCAAAACUCUCUCUCUUCAA